GGAUAACUAUUGGAAACGAUAGCUAAUACCGCAUAACAGUAGAUAUUGCAUGAUAUCUGCUUGAAAGGUGCAAUUGCAUCACUACCAGAUGGACCUGCGUUGUAUUAGCUAGUUGGUGAGGUAACGGCUCACCAAGGCAACGAUACAUAGCCGACCUGAGAGGGUGAUCGGCCACACUGGGACUGAGACACGGCCCAG
rnacentral:rRNA from 1 species